GAACUAAAUCAAAGAAUGUAAUGAAACUCCAAAGAAAAUUAAUAGUAGAGGAAAAUUACUAGGUAGAGUGAGAGGAAAAACUUUCCAAAGUGGAUGAAAACAUCAGCCAUGUAACUGAACAGCUGGAGAACUAUAGAAAGCAAGUCAAAGAUCUUGAAGAAGAAUUGGAGAGAACCAUUCAUUCUUAUCAGGGGCAGAUUAUGUACUAUGAGAAAAAAGCACAUGAUAAUGAGCUUGCAGUUCAAAGUGCUAAAAGAUACCUCAAGAUUUAAGGAGAUAAAAUGUUCACAACAGAC
rnacentral:lncRNA from 1 species